rnacentral:lncRNA from 1 species
CCAUGGGCACUGUUUCUUAAGGAGCUCCUUGAACGGAGUCCUUUCUUGAUUUUUCCGCCACUUUUCUUGGAGGACUGGGACAUCGCCAUGAUAGUAUUGUCUGGCUUCCUCUUGCAGUUUUGACCACCCGAGUAGUUGCCUCAGUUGACAUUGGGGCGAUCGUUGCGAUUCUUAUUGUUGCGUUGGCUGUUGUUCUGGUUGUUAUUGUUCUCGCCUCUAUUACGACUAGACUUGAACCGCUCGAUCUCUUUGUCUUCUUCAUCUGCCCAGGCUUG